rnacentral:rRNA from 1 species
GACGUAGGGCGCGAGCGUUGUCCGGAUUUAUUGGGCGUAAAGAGCUCGUAGGCGGCUUGUUGCGUCAGCUGUGAAAACCCGCAGCUCAACUGUGGGCUUGCAGCUGAUACGGGCAGGCUUGAGUUCGGUAGGGGAGACUGGAAUUCCUGGUGUAGCGGUGAAAUGCGCAGAUAUCAGGAGGAACACCGGUGGCGAAGGCGGGUCUC